AAAUAGUGGAGACCAGCGACCACUAAAAAAAACGGGGCGUCAAUUGAACAGCCAAACGAGUAAAAAAAAA
rfam:Bacteroidetes bacterium OLB10 TZ10_BCD003CONTIG000045, whole genome shotgun sequence.